AUGCAUGUAUAAGUGUAACCUGCCAGACAGGGAAACUGCGUACGGCUCAUUACACCAGCUAUAAUUUACUUGACCUUGACAACUUACUUGGAUAACUGUGGUAAUUCUAGAGCUAAUACAUGCACCAAAGCUCCAAUCUCCCCAGAGCGGAGCGCAUUUGUUCGCCACAAAACCAAGCGCCCUCCGGGCGUCCAGUGUUGACUCAGAACAACUAAGCUGAUCGCACGGUCUUGCACCGGCGACGUGUCUUUCAAGUGUCUGCCUUAUCAACUUUCGAUGGUAGUGUAUCUGACUACCAUGGUGAUGACGGGUAACGGAGGAUAAGGGUUCGACUCCGGAGAAGGGGCCUGAGAAAUGGCCACUACGUCUAAGGAUGGCAGCAGGCGCGCAAAUUACCCACUCUCAACAUGAGGAGGUAGUGACGAGAAAUAACGAGACCGAUCUCUAUUGAGGCCGGUCAUCGGAAUGGGUACAAUUUAAACCCUUUAACGAGUAUCUAUGAGAGGGCAAGUCUGGUGCCAGCAGCCGCGGUAAUUCCAGCUCUCAAAAUGCAUAGAAUUAUUGCUGCGGUUAAAAAGCUCGUAGUUGGAUCUGUGCUAGCCGUCCGGUCCACCCUCUGGGUGUGCACUGGCACGGUUGGCUUUUUUGCUGGUCUCUCCCCGGCGUUGGCCUUCACUGGUCGGCGUCGGUGGGCUAGCGAGUUUACUUUGAACAAAUCAGAGUGCUUCAAACAGGCGUUUCGCUUGAAUGUUCGUGCAUGGAAUAAUAGAAGAGGAUUUCGGUCCGAUUUUAUUGGUUUUGCUGACCGAGAUAAUGGUUAACAGAGACAAACGGGGCCAUUCGUAUUGCUACGUGAGAGGUGAAAUUCUUGGACCGUAGCAAGACGGACUACAGCGAAAGCAUUUGGCAAGAAUGUCUUCAUUAAUCAAGAACGAAAGUCAGAGGUUCGAAGGCGAUCAGAUACCGCCCUAGUUCUGACCGUAAACGAUGCCAACUAGCGAUCCGCCGGCGGAUUUAUUCGCCCUGGUGGGGAGCUUCCCGGAAACGAAAGUCUUCCGGUUCCGGGGGAAGUAUGGUUGCAAAGCUGAAACUUAAAGGAAUUGACGGAAGGGCACCACCAGGAGUGGAGCCUGCGGCUUAAUUUGACUCAACACGGGAAAACUCACCCGGCCCGGACACCGUAAGGAUUGACAGAUUGAUAGCUUUUUCAUGAUUCGGUGGAUGGUGGUGCAUGGCCGUUCUUAGUUCGUGGAGCGAUUUGUCUGGUUUAUUCCGAUAACGAGCGAGACUCUGGCCUACUAAAUAGUUGGCUCAUUGCUACUGUGGGCACAACUUCUUAGAGGGAUUUUCGGUGUUCAGCCGCACGAAAUUGAGCAAUAACAGGUCUGUGAUGCCCUUAGAUGUCCGGGGCUGCACGCGCGCUACACUGGCAAAAUCAACGUGCUUGUCCUUCCCCGAAAGGGGUUGGUAAACCGGUGAAAAUUUGCCGUGAUUGGGAUCGGACAUUGCAAUUAUUGUCCGUGAACGAGGAAUUCCUUGUAGGGGCGAGUCAUCAACUCGCUCUG
rnacentral:rRNA from 1 species